CAAUAGCGUAUAUUUAAGUUGUUGCAGUUAAAAAGCUCGUAGUUGGAUUUCGGUUAAGAGCGACCGGUCCGCCGUUUGGUGUGCACUGGUUGGUUUUAACUUCCUGUAGAGGACGUGCUCUGGGUUUAACGACCUGGACUCGGAGUCUACGUGGUUACUUUGAAAAAAUUAGAGUGUUCAAAGCGGGCUUACGCUUGAAUAUUUCAGCAUGGAAUAACACUAUAGGACUCCUGUCCUAUUUCGUUGGUCUCGGGACGGGAGUAAUGAUUAAGAGGAACAGUUGGGGGCAUUCGUAUUUCAUUGUCAGAGGUGAAAUUCUUGGAUUUAUGAAAGACAAACUUCUGCGAAAGCAUUUGUCAAGGAUGUUUUCAUUAA
rnacentral:rRNA from 1 species